GAAAGCCUGAUGCAGCAACGCCGCGUGAGGGAUGACGGCCUUCGGGUUGUAAACCUCUUUUAGUAGGGAAGAAGCGAAAGUGACGGUACCUGCAGAAAAAGCACCGGCUAACUACGUGCCAGCAGCCGCGGUAAUACGUAGGGCGCAAGCGUUGUCCGGAAUUAUUGGGCGUAAAGAGCUCGUAGGCGGUUUGUCGCGUCUGCUGUGAAAUCCCGAGGCUCAACCUCGGGCCUGCAGUGGGUACGGGCAGACUAGAGUGCGGUAGGGGAGAUUGGAAUUCCUGGUGUAGCGGUGGAAUGCGCAGAUAUCAGGAGGAACACCGAUGGCGAAGGCAGAUCUCUGGGCCGUAACUGACGCUGAGGAGCGAAAGGGUGGGGAGCAAACAGGAUUAGAUACCCUGGUAGUCCACCCCGUAAACGUUGGGAGCUAGAUGUAGGACCAUUCCACGGUUUCCGUGACGCAGCUAACGCA
rnacentral:rRNA from 1 species